rnacentral:rRNA from 1 species
UGGGGAAUAUUGGACAAUGGGCGAAAGCCUGAUCCAGCCAUGCCGCGUGUGUGAAGAAGGCCUUUUGGUUGUAAAGCACUUUAAGCGAGGAGGAGGCUACUUGGAUUAAUACUCUAGGAUAGUGGACGUUACUCGCAGAAUAAGCACCGGCUAACUCUGUGCCAGCAGCCGCGGUAAUACAGAGGGUGCGAGCGUUAAUCGGAUUUACUGGGCGUAAAGCGUGCGUAGGCGGCUUCUUAAGUCGGAUGUGAAAUCCCUGAGCUUAACUUAGGAAUUGCAUUCGAUACUGGGAAGCUAGAGUAUGGGAGAGGAUGGUAGAAUUCCAGGUGUAGCGGUGAAAUGCGUAGCGAUCUGGAGGAAUACCGAUGGCGAAGGCAGCCAUCUGGCCUAAUACUGACGCUGAGGUACGAAAGCAUGGGGAGCAAACAGG